AUUGAACGCUGGCGGCAUGCCUUACACAUGCAAGUCGAACGGUAACGGGCCUUCGGGCGCCGACGAGUGGCGAACGGGUGAGUAAUGCAUCGGAACGUACCUUUCAGUGGGGGAUAACGUAGCGAAAGUUACGCUAAUACCGCAUAUUCUGUGAGCAGGAAAGCAGGGGAUCGCAAGACCUUGUGCUGAUUGAGCGGCCGAUGUCAGAUUAGCUAGUUGGUGAGGUAAAGGCUCACCAAGGCGACGAUCUGUAGCGGGUCUGAGAGGAUGAUCCGCCACACUGGAACUGAGACACGGUCCAGACUCCUACGGGAGGCAGCAGUGGGGAAUUUUGGACAACGGGGGCAACCCUGAUCCAGCCAUGCCGCGUGAGUGAAGAAGGCCUUCGGGUUGUAAAGCUCUUUCGGCCGGGAAGAAAUCGUAUGGGCUAAUACCCUGUGCGGAUGACGGUACCGGCAUAAGAAGCACCGGCUAACUACGUGCCAGCAGCCGCAGUAAUAC
rnacentral:rRNA from 1 species